GACAGAGGUGCCAAGCGUUAGGCGGAAUCACUGGGCUUAAAGCGUGUGUAGGCGGAUCGUUAAGUACCUUGUGAAAUCCCACGGCUCAACCGUGGAACUGCUGGGUAUACUGGCGAUCUUGAGCCACCUAGGGGCGAGCGGAACAAGCGGUGGAGCGGUGAAAUGCGUAGAUAUCGCUUGGAACGCCAAUGGUGAAAACAGCUCGCUGGGGGUGUGCUGACGCCGAGACACGAAAGCCAGGGGAGCGAACGGG
rnacentral:rRNA from 1 species